rnacentral:tRNA from 1 species
GGAGGGAUGGCCGAGCGGUUGAUGGCAGUGCUCUUGAAAAGCACCGUGGGGUAAAAGCCACCGUGGGUUCGAAUCCCACUCCCUCCG